CGCGGGAUGGAGCAGCCCGGUAGCUCGUCAGGCUCAUAACCUGAAGGUCAUAGGUUCAAAUCCUAUUCCCGCACCCA
rnacentral:tRNA from 1 species